rnacentral:rRNA from 1 species
GAUGAACGCUGGCGGCGUGCUUAACACAUGCAAGUCGAACGGAAAGGCUCCUGCUUGCUGGGGUACUCGAGUGGCGAACGGGUGAGUAACACGUGGGUGAUCUGCCCUGCACUUCGGGAUAAGCCUGGGAAACUGGGUCUAAUACCGGAUAGGACCACAUCUUGGAUGGUGUGGUGGAAAGUUUUUCGGUGUGGGAUGAGCUCGCGGCCUAUCAGCUUGUUGGUGGGGUAAUGGCCUACCAAGGCGUCGACGGGUAGCCGGCCUGAGAGGGUGUACGGCCACAUUGGGACUGGGAUACGGCCCAGACUCCUACGGGGGGCAGCAGUGGGGAAUAUUGCACAAUGGGCGCAAGCCUGAUGCAGCGACGCCGCGUGGGGGAUGACGGCCUUCGGGUUGUAAACUCCUUUCGCUAGGGACGAAGCGCAAGUGACGGUACCUGGAGAAGAAGCACCGGCUAACUACGUG